AGACCCGAAACCCGGUGAUCUAGCCAUGGGCAGGUUGAAGGUUGGGUAACACUAACUGGAGGACCGAACCGACUAAUGUUGAAAAAUUAGCGGAUGACCUGUGGCUGGGGGUGAAAGGCCAAUCAAACCGGGAGAUAGCUGGUUCUCCCCGAAAGCUAUUUAGGUAGCGCCUCGUGAAUUCAUCUCCGGGGGUAGAGCACUGUUUCGGCUAGGGGGCCAUCCCGGCUUACCAACCCGAUGCAAACUGCGAAUACCGGAGAAUGUUAUCACGGGAGACACACGGCGGGUGCUAACGUCCGUCGUGAAGAGGGAAACAACCCAGACCGCCAGCUAAGGUCCCAAAGUCAUGGUUAAGUGGGAAACGAUGUGGGAAGGCCCAGACAGCCAGGAUGUUGGCUUAGAAGCAGCCAUCAUUUAAAGAAAGCGUAAUAGCUCACUGGUCGAGUCGGCCUGCGCGGAAGAUGUAACGGGGCUAAACCAUGCACCGAAGCUGCGGCAGCGACACUGUGUGUUGUUGGGUAGGGGAGCGUUCUGUAAGCCUGUGAAGGUGUGUCGUGAGGCAUGCUGGAGGUAUCAGAAGUGCGAAUGCUGACAUAAG
rnacentral:rRNA from 3 species